rnacentral:lncRNA from 12 species
CCAUGGACUCAAAAUCAGCUGGACCCAAAAAUAGUAGCUAAGCUGCUGACUGAAUCACACCGUACUUUAAAGAACGCUUCAGCAAUUUUGCUUUGUCUUUUGCCCUAGACAUCUCUUUAUAACUUUUCUGUUCUGAUAAUCUAUUCCAAAUUUCCUGCUUACCUGUGAAAUAUUUCUGCAAGGUAUUUUGCAGCCUUUUCCAUUCAUUUGUUGAGCUCACAAAAUCUCUGCUUAAAAUAUGACAUUGGUGAAAGCCAUGAAGAAAACAGCUAUUGUUCAGACUGGAAAUGUCUGUGGCCAAGAAUAGCAAUGAUUUCUCUGGUGCCAUUUCUAUCAUCAGUAUCUUUAUUCCUGGCAAUUCAACAUCAGCAUUUGGAGAUUUUAUUGAACAAAGGAAAAUUGAAUUAAUGAGCCAACAAAAAUGAUCAACAUCAAAGACUGGAUGUCAUUGGAAAAAGACUUUUCCUAAUUGGAAGAAUUUGAAACCAUGCAUUUUUGCUGCAGUUUUCUGUCGGAUGAGGAAAACAUUGUCAUCUUAAACUUAGCAGUUUAAAAAGUGUGUCUUACAACCAUCCAGAGAAUGCAUAUGAAAAAUGAAUAUCCCUUGCUCUACUCCCUGAAGAAUCUGACUUGGUCUGUCUGAGAGAUGUGUACCUUGGAUAGCUCGACUGUAAAUGGGGCACAGACUACUCUACAAAUACUGCACCUUGACUAGCCUGCAUGCAACUCAUUCUCAGCACACCUGCUGGUCUCUCUGAUAUCAGGAAUUACCCUGUAAUAUGUGUAUGUGUUAAAGAAAAUCACACUGGAUAUCUAAAAUCUAGGCACUGUGGAAGACCUCGGGAAAAAUUUGAAGAUGUUUCUGUGCUAUUGGAUUUUGCCAGACUUCUUGGAAUCCCUGGGUGGCGCAGCGGUUUAGCGCCUGCCUUUGGCCCGGGGCGUGAUCCUGGAGACCCGGGAUCGAAUCCCGCGUCGGGCUCCUGGUGCAUGGAGCCUGCUUCUCCCUCUGCCUGUGUCUCUGCUUCUCUCUCUCUCUCUGUGUGACUAUCAUAAAUAAAUAAAAAUUUAAAAAAAGAACA